GGCGGCCGUCUUAGCAUGCAGUCGAGCGGCAGGGGCAGCAAUGCCCCGAGAGCGGCGGACUGGUGAGUAACGCGUGGGUGACCUGCCUUGAGGCUGGGGAUAGCCCCUAGAAAUAGGGGGUAAUACCGAAUACGUUUGCCGGACUGUGGACUGGCAAAGAAAGGGGCCAUGGCCCCGCCUCGAGAUGGGCCCGCGUCCUAUUAGGUAGUUGGGGGGGUAAAGGCCCACCAAGCCCGAGAUAGGUAGCCGGCCUGAGAGGGUGAACGGCCACACUGGGACUGAGAUACGGCCCAGACUCCUACGGGAGGCAGCAGCUAAGAAUAUUCCGCAAUGGACGAAAGUCUGACGGAGCGACGCCGCGUGGAUGACGAAGGCCGAAAGGUUGUAAAAUCCUUUUGCGGAUGAAGAAUAAGGGCGGCAGGGAAUGGCCGCUUGAUGACGCUAGUCCGCGAAUAAGCCCCGGCUAAUUACGUGCCAGCAGCCGCGGUAACACGUAAGGGGCGAGCGUUGUUCGGAAUUAUUGGGCGUAAAGGGCGCGUAGGCGGUCGAGCAAGUCUGGCGUGAAAUCCCCGGGCUCAACCCGGGAACGGCGUUGGAAACUGCGCGACUGGGGUCAUGGAGGGGUAGUUGGAAUUCCUGGUGUAGGGGUGAAAUCUGUAGAUAUCAGGAAGAACACCGGUGGCGAAGGCGAACUACCAGCCAAUGACUGACGCUGAGGCGCGAAAGUGCGGGGAGCAAACAGGAUUAGAUACCCUGGUAGUCCGCACUAUAAACGAUGCACACUAUGUGUUGGGCCGAGCGGUUCAGUGCCGGAGCGAACGUGAUAAGUGUGCCGCCUGGGGAGUAUGCCCGCAAGGGUGAAACUCAAAGGAAUUGACGGGGGCCCGCACAAGCGGUGGAGCAUGUGGUUUAAUUCGAUGAUACGCGAGGAACCUUACCUGGGUUUGACAUGCGGGGGGAC
rnacentral:rRNA from 1 species